rnacentral:rRNA from 1 species
CCAAUAGCGUAUAUUAAAGUUGUUGCAGUUAAAAAGCUCGUAGUUGAAUUUCGGGAUUAGUACGCUGGUCGUGCCUUCGGUACGUACUGGUGUUACUGAUUCCUACCUUCUGACGAACCGUCAUGUCAUUAAUUUGAUGUGGCGGGGAAUCAGGACUGUUACUUUGAAAAAAUUAGAGUGUUUAAAGCAGGCUCGCGCUUGAAUACAUUAGCAUGGAAUAAUGAAAUAGGACGUUCGAUCCUAUUUUGUUGGUUUCUAGGAUUGACGUAAUGAUUAAUAGGGAUAGUUGGGGGCAUUAGUAUUCAAUUGUCAGAGGUGAAAUUCUUGGAUUUAUUGAAGACUAACUACUGCGAAAGCAUUUGCCAAGGAUGUUUUCAUUAAUCAAGAACGAAAGUUAGGGGAUCGAAGACGAUCAGAUACCGUCGUAGUCUUAACCAUAAACUAUGCCGACUAGGGAUCGGAUGAUGUUAUUUUUAAUGACUCAUUCGGCGCCUUACG